rnacentral:rRNA from 1 species
UGGCGAACGGGUGAGUAACACGUGAGUAACCUGCCCUUGACUUUGGGAUAACUUCAGGAAGCUGGGGCUAAUACCGGAUAGGAGCUCCUGCUGCAUGGUGGGGGUUGGAAAGUUUCGGCGGUUGGGGAUGGACUCGCGGCUUAUCAGCUUGUUGGUGGGGUAGUGGCUUACCAAGGCUUUGACGGGUAGCCGGCCUGAGAGGGUGACCGGCCACAUUGGGACUGAGAUACGGCCCAG